AAAACCCAAGAUUGCUUGCAAACGUAUGAGUCGCUAUGAGAUACAGUUACAAACCUAUUCACUACAUUUUCAUCUUUAUUUUAUGAUUCUUGCAUUAAACGAUGUCAGAUUUUACGGGGACAUUGCUUGCGACAGUGAGGUGGUUACGUAGGGUUAUCGGUUUUCAUUGAUGUUUUUACCUAAAGAUUAAU
rnacentral:lncRNA from 1 species